AAGAUGACUACGCCGAUAUCCAGUCAUCCGAUGAUGAAGACACGGUGUACGAUCAGAGUACUCGUGCUGGAAGGCAGGUGGAGGCAGGACCAAUCCUGGAUAGGAUGGGGCGUACCCUACAAACCUCGGUUAGAGAUAUAGAGCAUAUCCGUCCAUGAGUUAGGGACCCCGAGAUACGGAGCGUCCUAGAGCGAUUGUCAAAUCGGUUUCGCCGUGCCGCUGCUCGUUGUGGUUGUAGGACUGCCACGAC